CAUAGUCAUUAGCUUUUUAAUGGGAAGCUUGUAUGAAUGGUCAAACAAAAGAAAAGCUGUCUUUUUAUUUAAAUUUGAAUUUUACUUUUAAGUGAAAAGGNUUAAAUUUUUUAAGGGGACGAUAAGACCCUAUAAAGCUUAAUGAUUUAUUUACAUUUCCUAAUGUAAGUUUAUAAAACCAAAUUAAGUAAAAUCAUUUUGUUGGGGCGACACAGGCAUAAAUAAAAAUAACUGCUAAUAUUUUAAACCAUAAUUUUAUGAUAAGUGAUCCUAUUUAAAGAUUAAAAGAUUAAGUUACUUUAGGGAUAACAGCGUAAUUCUUUUUAAAAGUUCUUAUUGAAAAAAGAGUUUGCGACCUCGAUGUUGAAUUAAAAUUCCUUUAUGGUGCAGCCGCUAUAAGAG
rnacentral:rRNA from 1 species